rnacentral:lncRNA from 1 species
CUUAGAUGGUGGAAGCAAGCAGCACAUCCUGAAGCAUUGCUGUCCUUGGCAGUCAGUGCAGAACUGCAACAUAGGAGAGAUGAUGGUGACCUCUUCUUUGCAACAUGGGAAGGCCAAACUGGGACUCGUGGGAGAGAAAUUCUGUGACAAAGCUGAAAGUCACACCUGCACCUCUGAAGUCUCACCCUGCAGACUGAAGCAGCCAACCUCACUGUCGGAUUUCCACGAGCAAGGGAAGCCACAGCCCCAUGAUUGUAAUAAAUGUCAGAAGUACAGCAUGUUAUAUGAGGGAUUUGUCAUUAAGCAGCCUGGGAUAAAUACAACACGUCCAGUUCAGUGGAAACAGUUUCAUUGCAUUGCUUGGUCUCACCUUCAUCGUUUUCACCUCCAUUUAAAGCUACCCGAAGCAAAGUGAGUUCCAAUGAGAACACAAGCACUGAUCAAGUACAUCUGUUCCUGUCCAGGGGAAAUGGAUUUUAUAGCAUUCCAGACCAUGCACAAAGCAUGAGGAAGACAGCAUAUGUAAUGGAUGCUGUAGGAGCUGGAGAAAGAAGCUACAGCAGUGGCGGUCCUGCUGCCCAUGCCUGUGGCUCUUCUGUGCCACAGGGCUGUGGAGGCUCAGCAAUGAUCUGCGUUUGGAAACUUUCAGCUCUUGACUUUGCUCCAUCCUCUGCCCUCUGACUUCCCAGAAAGCAGAAAGCUUCCCAGAAAACAGAAAGCUCCUGCACAGGCCGAUGGACUAUUACUAGUGCCUCCUGUCCUGAGGAAUUUGGCAAGAAAAUUAAGAGUAUUGCAACCUGUUUUCAAAAGAAGCCGUUUAGAGGAAGAACCUCUAACCAAGCACAAAACACUCUUCCAACUGGGUUCCACUAUAGCAGCAAGGGAGGGUAUCAAAAUUUUCUCUUUCCUCACUUUUCUGUUGUUAUCUAUGUAUAGUAAAUUACACAGUUAAUAAUAAUAACAAUAAUAAUAACAAUAACAACAAUAAUAAUAAUAAUAAAAUUCACAAAUGUUGCUGGUAUUUUAUUUGAAUAAUGCACGUGAUGACCAGCGUUUGGAGUGCUACAGAUCCCAUACAGGAAACUAAAUUAUUCUUCAGAUUAUUUGAAGGACGGUGGCGUUGUUCACCAGACAGCAUGCCUGCAGGUGAUCUCUGUGGAGACACGAGUCCUCUCGGCCCGGAGCUCACAACCACCUGCACAGGUCUGUGGCGACACACCGUGACUACCCAUGGGCAAGGAGCGAGGCCAGAGCAGCGGGCCUGGCUGGGCCUCCUCGUGCAGCCUGCAGCAUGGGCUGUGGCCAAGGCGGGGAACAAGGAGCCUCCAAUACCACUUUUCUCCUCCUCUUUGCAGGCUGAAUAAUAAAUGUUGCUAAGGAAGUCCCGUGACUGGGAAAAAGUCUCUCACAGCUCCUGCUUUUGCCAUCAUCACUUGGGAUAUUUAAUCUUGCAGCAGCACAUGAGGGCUGGUGGGUGCCACAGGGGCCAGCACCAUCCCCACCAGUGGCAGCUCCAGCUCCGAAAUGUGAUGAGCAGGGUGAGACAAGCCCAUCACAACAGAAAGCUGAAGGCAAAAAAGGCCAAGCUCUCAUAGUGAUAAGCGGUUUCCAGGUUGCAGUUCCUGCAUAUACUGAUUUUUCUCAGCAGGAAACAGAAUUUUCCCCAUAUUUCCACUGUAGCGAAAAAGUGACUCUCUCUCUUCAUCAGCGAUAAUGUACAUGUCAGAGUUGAAAAAGUCAGGUCAAUAGUUAUUAGCUUCUUGAAACAUUAUGUCUUGAAAUAUGAGGGCUUUGGUUUCAGUACACAUACACAGGCUGCCACUGGGGAAUGUGGGAGAUCAGACUGGGCCCUCCAGGCCUGGCCCACCGCAGGAACUGCUGCAAGACGGGGUGAGGGAAGGGCUGCAGUCUCUGGGGCGAGAUGUGGUCCCCGUGUUUUUUCAGGACAGAAUACAGUGCAUUCUUACAAAAUUAUUUGGAACAAUUUUGUCUCUGCCCCAGAAACUUGCUUUCACUCAUUCACUUGUAGCCCAAUCAUCCCUUCAUCACAUUCACCAUUAAGACUUGUGUAAAGGGUGCUGCAGGAAGCUAAAAGAAAGGAAAAAUAAAUAACAUGCAUAGGGUUUGAAAAAAAAAAUAAUGAUAUUGUUUCUUUGCUACAGAGAAGCCAUACUAGUGCUUCCUACCAAGAACAGCUUACAGGCUUAUCACGGGUCAGAGAUGGUUUCAUCGACAUGUUGCUGCUCCCUCUGCCAUGCUCUGACCUUGGGCAGGUAAUUUAUCUGGUCGGUGCACCAGUUUUCCCUUCUGCUGAAUGGGGGAAUUGAAUUUUACCUUAUAGGGGCAUGCUGCGAACCUGCAGAGUUUUAAGGCUGACAGGAGCAGACCUAAUAAAAGGAGAAGGUACAGGGCCCUCAGGCAGACAGCUCUGGGUGCGUGUCGCUGGUCUCUGCCCUCACAAUGCAUUUUAUAAACACAAGCAGAAGGCAUUCAGAAAAGAGAAAGUCUUAGUAAAAAUUAAACGCGAGAUUAGCUACUAUUCAAAGUCAUAAAAUUAAAUUUAAGAGUUCUAAAUUAUGAGAGCUUUCAAAUUGAAAUGCUGCACAAUUAGCUCAAACAGAGCAGAAAUAAAAAAACAUUUAUAGCCAGCUCCCUCCUGCUUCCAGUUGGCAGCCGCAAUCACUGUGAUGAUUGUCCAAGCUUCAGCACGCUCCGCUCGGGAGCCUUGCAGCACCUCAGCAGGUCCCUGCAGGAUUGUACCCACAAUGUGGCCAUGCCACUGUGCCACCGUGCCACCAUGCCACUCUGCCAUCAAGCCACUGUGCCACCAGCACUCCCCUGCCCCAGCAGCAGCAGCCCCUGCCUUGUGCCCUGGCUUCCCCCAGUCCACCCACAUCCUCCAAGUGGAUUUUUUGGGAGGAAGGUGAAGUGGUGAUUAGGGGUUUCAGUUGGUUGGGUGGGUGUUUUCACUAUUAAAGGGUAAAAAUGGAUAAAUAUUACAAUAUUUUUCUCUCUGUUAUUUUUUUCUAUAAACACUAAUUCACAAAAUCUGGACUUUUGGCAUCCCAGAGGGGUGAAGCGCGUGGCCUGAUGAGGGGGAGAGCAGCAAAGGGAGGCUGCAGGCUGCCAAACAGCAUGCAGAGCAGGUACUGAGCCUGCCACUUUCACACUGUAGUUCAUAUGGCGCAGGCCCUCGAGGGGUUGCUGGUCAUGGCCAUUUUGGCUGUGCAGAAUCACCAGCCCUUGCUGCUUUCCACUCUCCUGGUCAUCCUGCUCCUCUGGGAUCGCUGGUGACCAAAUGGUCUCUCUGAAACUCCAUGUCCCAGACAUUUAUUUGUGGCAGUUCCNNNNNNNNNNUUCUAUUUUCAAACCAGAUGUUUUUUUUUUUUUUUUUUUUUUUUUUAUUCCUGGUGUCCAUUGAUUUUCCUACCGAGCCUCUCCUCCUAAAUGCAGGACCAUGGCACAUGCCUUGUUACUUCAUGCUGAAAUAAAACCAUUCUACAAAACGGCUCCUCCAGUGUUUCUGUGGCCAGGCAUGCAGGGCGGGAUGGUGCAGAGUGGUUCAGCACUGUAUUGUCCAUAUGAAGCGGGGCUCACCCCGUCAGGACCCCAACUGGGUCUGGCAGCUGUGGAUGCACUGCCCACAGCCUGGUCUGCAGCUUCCUCAUGGCAGCCAGCGGUGAGAAGCGUCCCUUCAGGAGGGUAACUGCCUUAAGCACAGACCAGAAUGCCCAAGCUUCUCCCACACCCAGGUUAACACCUUAGAAAUAUCCUUCCAAGUAUAAAUUGUAACCCUUAAUAUGAAAUAAGUAAGGUAUAUAUCAAAGAUCGCUAAUAUCACAUGUUCUUAAAAAUGAUCAUAAUCAUAAUAACUCCUCAGGCUUUGGAAAAAAAAUGUUGUCGAUCUAAUGCAAUUCUCUGUUUGUACAGAAUUUUAUAUCCUUAUUAUUAAAUAUUUCCAUUAUGCUAUUGCUGGAAUAUUUUAAGAAGUAAUAUAAUCUGUUGUAAUAUAAAGAAGAGUAACAGCAUAGCUAUUUUGCAAAAUACGUUCCAGCUGAACGAGCUAAUUAGCUUUUAAUAAUGAGACUCAGCCAAUGGAUUUAC